UUGUGACAAAAGCAAAGAAUGAAUGUGUUCCUCAGUGGUUAGAGUUUGUUCACUUAGGCUUCGUUGAGAUUUAUCAAGGGAUUGUUACAUGAGUCAGCCUUUCCUGUGUAAUCAACCAACAAAAUCUGAGUGGCAUGAUGGACAUCUUUGAGGCCAUGCCUUAUCUGGUAUCCAGCCGGAGGGAAAGCGCAGGCUCAGGAUUUCUCUCUGACAGAUCAGAGCUGGUGGCCCGAUUUGCAUAACUGAUGUAAAUAAUCUGUGAUUCUGCAGCUGCCAGAAAAACACAGCGUACAAAGACAAAAUAAACAAGAAUGGAGACAACAGCAACAGAAACUUGGAAGCUGGGAGGAGAUCUGAGAAAGCUGGAUUCUCAGCCAACUUCAGAGAGAGCUGAGAAGCAGACUGAUUUUUUGUUUUGUUUUGUUUUUAAUUUCAAGUACAAAUCCAAGAAUGAGCAUCAUCAGAUAUCUCUGGAAGUUCUGUUGCAAGUAAGGUUGCUGAAGAAGCAGCUGGCCCUUCUCAUCUCCUCCCCACUUCAUGAAACAGGAAUACAUUUUGAGAAAUGUGUCAUUAGGCCAUUUUGUUCUGCUAACAUCAUGGAGUGUCCUUGGUAGAGCCUACUACACACCUAGGCUGUAUGUGACAGCCUAUGGCUCCUAGACUACAAAUCUGGACAGCAUGUCACUGUACUGAACACCCUAGGCAACUGGAACGCAAGGGACCUCCAGUGUAACUUAGAAGAAUCGUUCCUUUGACGUAUCUGCUAUGCAACUGGUCAAUAUUGCAUGAUGACUUCUCAAUAUUACUAUUGAUUUAGGCUACCAGGAAAAAUCAAGCUUGCUUCAAGGAGAUUUUAGUGCAAGAAAUCCAUAUUAUUUGACACUUGCUAUUAUUUCUGCAGCAUCCCAGAAUUUCUCAUUUAAGUACUGCCCAAUAGUAUUCUGGCUUUCUUUGCAUUUGUGAACACAGACACAAAAUGUUUUGUUGUAAUUUAUUGCAGAAUGGCAGUUUGGCCUUUGGGGAAUAUGAAUCAUGGGUCACUGUCAUAAAACAACUUAUGUUUGGAAACUUUUUUGAAUAAUAAUUGAUUUGGGACAAGACUUUUUUUCCCUUAAUAAGAAAUUAGGAGCUUUCUUAAUAAGAAAUAUCAUUAGAGUUUUCCAUUUUAAAUUGUGUGAAUUUGUUUUCAUUGUAUGAAACUGGAUACAAGAUAAUCAGUUGCUCAGACUAGAUACCAAAAGGAAUGGUUAUUAAGACAGUAGAAAAAUCUUUUUGAAGAACAUUCAUAGGGUAGCCAUCCUACUGCCCCAAAUCAAACCUGAGGCAAUAGAAAACUACGCUUUUAGAAUAAUAAAAAUAGCAGAAAACUCC